rnacentral:rRNA from 1 species
CAUUACAAGUGAGGCUACCAAACGUUGGAAACAGCGGUUAGGAGCUUACACCCACCCGUGUCUACAUACUAUUGUUGCUUUGGCGGGCCGUGGCCUCCACUGCGGGCUCUGCUCGUGUGUGCCCGCCAGAGAACCAAACUCUGAAUGUUAGUGAUGUCUGAGUACUAUCUAAUAGUUAAAACUUUCAACAACGGAUCUCUUGGUUCUGGCAUCGAUGAAGAACGCAGCGAAAUGCGAUAAGUAAUGUGAAUUGCAGAAUUCAGUGAAUCAUCGAAUCUUUGAACGCACAUUGCGCCCUGUGGUAUUCCGCAGGGCAUGCCUGUUCGAGCGUCAUUUAACCACUCACGCCUAGCGUGGUAUUGGGGCACGCGGUCUCCGCGGCCCUCAAAAUUAGUGGCGGCGCCGGUGGGCUCUAAGCGUAGUACAUACUCCCGCUAUAGAGUUCCCCCGGUGGCUCGCCAGAACCCCCAAUUUUUACAGGUUGACCUCGGAUCAGGUAGGGAUACCCGCUGAACUUAAGCAUAUCAAUAAGCGGAGGAAAAGAAACCAACAGGGAUUACCUCAGUAACGGCGAGUGAAGCGGUAACAGCUCAAAUUUGAAAGCUGCCAACAGGCCGCGUUG